AUUUGUACAAAAUAUUUUAACAAAGUACCUGGUAUCCUAGCGACAAGGACACGUGCUUGUCUCCAGUCAGCCCAGCAUUUGUCUCUCACGUUUGGGUUUUGUUCUCUCUGACUUCCGUUUUCAACAUCAAGAGAGAACAUCAAGAAGCAAGAAAUGAAAAACCCACACCAAGAACAACAUUCAGAGAGAAUCAAGAACAAGAAUCAAGAAACCCACCCAAAGAUCCAGAGAGAAAACAUCAACAAACCCCGUUGUCGCCGCUGCCUGGAAUCUUCGCCACCUGGUUUCAAUCGCCGCCGCCUCCUUCGCUGUCGCCGCCUCUCUGGUUUGAUUUUUCUGUCUUCGUGGUUUGGGUUUUGUUCUUUGUGGGUUUCUGUUUAGGUUUCAAGGUUUCUGGGUUCGUGGUUUGGGUUUUGUUCUUCGUGUUUGGGUUUCAAGGUUUCUGGGUGUUUGGGUUUUGUUCUUCGUGGUUUGGGUUUUGUUCUUCGUGAUUUCUGGGUUUCAAGGUAGAAGGUUGUGAGUUUGGUUUCGCCGGUACGCUUCUUCGUCGUUCUCUCUCUCUUUUUUUUUUUUUUUUUUUUUUUUUUUUUUUUUGGGUUUUGUGUUUGCUACUUUGCUUGGUGCUUGGUGUUUGUUGGUGUUUGGGUGGUGAGAAAACGUGGGAAAGCAAAGGGAUUUUCUGGGUUUGUUAAUUUUUUCUGGGUUUGUUUA